ACACAUGUAUAACCAUAGCAAAUCAAACAAAGAGAUUGCAAUAAUACACGGCUUGCUCGAGGGGAAGCAACAACAAGUAGUGAAAACUCUAAGCUACUACAUACAACCAUACAUCCAUACACAUGAUAUUUGAUUACAUUUUAACCAAAUACAAGUAACCACAUUUACAUCCAUUUAUUUUCUUUUCAUACAUGUACAUCAUUUACAUUCAUCC
rnacentral:lncRNA from 1 species